rnacentral:lncRNA from 1 species
GCCAUUUGUGAAGGACUGGAAAAGGAAAAUGUCCUGAUGAUGCCAAAAAUAAUAAUAAUAGGGGAAUGAAAUCUUUAAACUUCAGGCCAGUAAACUUAACUUUGAUUCCAGACAAAUUUUUAGAACUUAUUCUUAGAGAUGUUAGUUAACCUUUAGGAAAGAAAGAGGUGAUCACUAAGAGCCAGGAUGGCUUCAUCAGUAGCAAAUUAGUCCAGCUUAACCUUAGGCCCUUUGUUUGGAUAGGAUUAAGAAAUUGAUGGCUCUGGCAAAUUAUAUAUAUACAUAUAUAUAUGCAUAUAUACAUAUCUAUGAUAUGUAUUAGUUUUAAUUAAGCAUUUGAAACAAUCACUCAUAUUGCUUUGAAGAAGAUGGAGAGAUAUAUUCUACACAAUAGUCACUUGUAUUGCUAAGUCUAAGCAGAUUAUGAUAAUGAAACCUAUUUUCUUGGCUGUCAUAAACAGAUGAUUGACUUAGGUACUCAAUAUCUUCAAAAGAAAUGAGGCAUGAAGAGAUACUAGGUAUAUGGCUUAAUGCCCUAGGCCAUCAAAUAAACAUCAUUGUGGAAAAGGAAUGCUUCAGAUGUUUAGAGUGAAGGUUUCUGAGUACCUAUCAGUGAUGGGCUUCUUCUGUCUUCUCAUCUCAAGUAAAAAAGUAUUUGCUCAUUUUCUCAACAGAUGGCUGCUGAAUGCCUACUAUGUACUCAUUCUACACUACGUGUUGAAAUCUAAAGGGAAGUGUAAGAGUGGGAUUCCUUUUCACGCUGUGAAGAGAAGCUGCUGUGGUGGCUGACCGAGUCUGCCUUAUUACUUCAUUAUUUGGGCAUGCUGAUAUUGGAACCAUGCCUCAGGAUAUCAAAGGACUGGCCACUGGCUGAUCUCAUUGGCUAGUAGAGCCUGUGAGGUCAUCUCCUCGUAUAUUGGUAAGUAUCAUCCUUAUUUCUCCAUGUCAUUCCUGGAAUCCUGGGUAAUUGAGGCAAUAACUUUAGGACUCUUACCUUAGAGUCUUUCCUACUCUUGCUGGC